AUAUAUAUAUAUAUAUAUAUAUAUGUAUAUAUAUAUACACAUACAUACAUACAUACAUAUGUAUGUAUAUAUAUACAUACAUACAUAUAUAUAUAUGUAUGUAUGUAAUA
rnacentral:miRNA from 14 species